GACGAACGCUGGCGGCGUGCUUAACACAUGCCAGUCGAACGGAAAGGCCCUGCUUUUGUGGGGUGCUCGAGUGGCGAACGGGUGAGUAACACGUGAGUAACCUGCCCUUGACUUUGGGAUAACUUCAGGAACUGGGGCUAAUACCGGAUAGGAGCUCCUGCUGCAUGGUGGGGGUUGGAAAGUUUCGGCGGUUGGGGAUGGACUCGCGGCUUAUCAGCUUGUUGGUGGGGUAGUGGCUUACCAAGGCUUUGACGGGUAGCCGGCCUGAGAGGGUGACCGGCCACAUUGGGACUGAGAUACGGCCCAGACUCCUACGGGAGGCAGCAGUGGGGAAUAUUGCACAAUGGGCGGAAGCCUGAUGCAGCAACGCCGCGUGCGGGAUGACGGCCUUCGGGUUGUAAACCGCUUUCGCCUGUGACGAAGCGUGAGUGACGGUAAUGGGUAAAGAAGCACCGGCUAACUACGUG
rnacentral:rRNA from 1 species